rnacentral:rRNA from 1 species
AGAGUUUGAUCCUGGCUCAGGAUGAACGCUGGCGGCGUGCUUAACACAUGCAAGUCGAACGAGCCUUCGGGCUAGUGGCGGACGGGUGAGUAACGCGUGAGAAUCUGCCCUCAGGAGGGGGAUAACGGCUGGAAACGGCCGCUAAUACCCCAUAUGCCGCGAGGUGAAAUGAGAAAUCGCCUGAGGAUGAGCUCGCGUCUGAUUAGCUAGUUGGUGGGGUAAGAGCCUACCAAGGCAUCGAUCAGUAGCUGGUCUGAGAGGAUGAUCAGCCACACUGGGACUGAGACACGGCCCAGACACCUACGGGAGGCAGCAGUGGGGAAUUUUCCGCAAUGGGCGCAAGCCUGACGGAGCAACGCCGCGUGAGGGAUGAUGGCCUCUGGGCUGUAAACCUCUUUUCUCAAGGAAGAAGAACUGACGGUACUUGAGGAAUAAGCCACGGCUAAUUCCGUGCCAGCAGCCGCGGUAAUACGGGAGUGGCAAGCGUUAUCCGGAAUUAUUGGGCGUAAAGCGUCCGCAGGCGGUCUUGAAAGUCUGCUGUUAAAGCGUGGAGCUCAACUCCAUUUCAGCAAUGGAAACUAGAAGACUAGAGUGUGGUAGGGGCAGAGGGAAUUCCCGGUGUAGCGGUGAAAUGCGUAGAUAUCGGGAAGAACACCAGUGGCGAAGGCGCUCUGCUGGGCCAUAACUGACGCUCAUGGACGAAAGCCAGGGGAGCGAAAGGGAUUAGAUACCCCUGUAGUCCUGGCCGUGAACGAUGAACACUAGGUGUCGGGGGAAUCGACCCCCUCGGUGUCGUAGCCAACGCGUUAAGUGUUCCGCCUGGGGAGUACGCACGCAAGUGUGAAACUCAAAGGAAUUGACGGGGGCCCGCACAAGCGGUGGAGUAUGUGGUUUAAUUCGAUGCAACGCGAAGAACCUUACCAGGGUUUGACAUCCUGCGAAUCUUUUGGAAACAGAAGAGUGCCUUCGGGAGCGCAGAGACAGGUGGUGCAUGGCUGUCGUCAGCUCGUGUCGUGAGAUGUUGGGUUAAGUCCCGCAACGAGCGCAACCCACGUCUUUAGUUGCCAGCAUUAAGUUGGGCACUCUAGAGAGACCGCCGGUGAUAAACCGGAGGAAGGUGUGGAUGACGUCAAGUCAUCAUGCCCCUUACAUCCUGGGCUACACACGUACUACAAUGCUACGGACAGAGGGCAGCAAACUCGCGAGAGCUAGCAAAUCCCAUAAACCGUGGCUCAGUUCAGAUCGUAGGCUGCAACUCGCCUACGUGAAGGAGGAAUCGCUAGUAAUCGCAGGUCAGCAUACUGCGGUGAAUACGUUCCCGGGCCUUGUACACACCGCCCGUCACACCAUGGAAGUUGGCCAUGCCCGAAGUCGUUACUCCAACCCUUGUGGAGGAGGACGCCGAAGGUGGGGCUGAUGACUGGGGUGAAGUCGAAACAAGGUA